rnacentral:rRNA from 1 species
UACAGGGGGUGCAAACGUUGCUCGGAAUUAUUGGGCGUAAAGCGCGCGUAGGCGGCCACUUAAGUCGGAUGUGAAAGCCCCUGGCUCAACUGGGGAAGUGCACCCGAAACUGAAUGGCUUGAAUACAAAAGAGGGUCGCGGAAUUCCCGGUGUAGAGGUGAAAUGCGUAGAUAUCUGGAGGAACACCAAUAGCGAAGGCAGCUCGCUGGGACGUUACUGACACUGAGGCGCGAAAGCGUGGGGAGCGAACAGG